ensembl:lncRNA
CUUAAAGGCACAGACCUGCCAAUUCCUACAUUGUCAAAGCUUAGACACCGCAGAUCCUCUCUGUCUCACACAAGUGUUGCAGGGCUGUUACUGCUCCAGCCAGGAGGCUGAAUGCGGUGAAAUAUUGUACAGACCCUCCCUGCCUCCCUCCCUCAAACUCCGCCUCUCACGUUUUGACUUUGUAAAAGUGUCUCUGUCAGUUUCUAUGUCUGUAUGAAAUCACUGCAGCUUCUUUCUCUUACACAACGUGCUGAGUUGCUAACUCCCUCCCAGAGCCCACGUGUCUGCACCCCCUGCUAUACCCCAGGUCAGAGCCUGCCCCCCUCACUCAAACACCCAGCCCAGUACAAGGGCACUGUUUACAACCGGGGAGCUGCCAGACGGGCACUGUCCAGCCCAGCCCUGUGCUGCCAUCCUGCUUCUUCCCCUUCGGUGUGGGCCCAUGCUGCACCAUGCUACCCCCCUGUCCAACACCCCUCUGGCUCCCUACGCCCAGUGCCACACCAACCAGAGACCCCUCCACACACUCCUGCCCAGCACCCCUCUGACUCCCAACGCCCAGUGCCACACCAUCCAGAGACCCCCACACACACACCCCUGCCCAGCACCCCUCUGGUUCCCUACACCCAGUGCCACACCACCUAGAGACCCCCCACACACACUCCUGCCCAGCACCCCUCUGACUCCCUACGCCCAGUGCCACACUACCCAGAGACCCCCCCACAGCCCUGCCCAGCACCUCUCUGGCUCCCUACGCCAUUGCCACACCACCCAGAGACCCCCCCACACUCCCGCCCAGCAUCCCUCUGACUACCUACACCCAGUGCCACUCCACCCAGAGACCCCCACACACACACCCCUGCCCAGCACCCCUCUGACUACCUACACCCAGUGCCACACCACCCAGAGACCCCCCUACACACACCCCUGCCCAGCACCCCUCUGGCUCCCUACGCCCAGUGCCAUACCACCCAGAGACCCCCCCACACACACCCCUGCCCAGCACCCCUCUGACUCCCAACGCCCAGUGCCACACCAUCCAGAGACCCCCCCACACACACCCCUGCCAGGCACCCCUCUGGUUCCCUACACCCAGUGCCACACCACCCAGAGACCCCCACACACACACCCCUGCCCAGCACCCCUCUGGUUCCCUACACCCAGUGCCACACCACCCAGAGACCCCCACACACACACCCCUGCCCAGCACCCCUCUGACUCCCUACACCCAGUACCACACCACCCAGAGACCCCCCCACACACACCCCUGCCCAGCACCCCUCUGACUCCCAAUGCCCAGUGCCACACCAUCCAGAGACCCCCACACACACACCCCUGCCCAGCACCCCUCUGGUUCCCUACACCCAGUGCCACACCACCCAGAGACCCCCCCACACACACCCCUGCCCAGCACCCCUCUGACUCCCAAUGCCCAGUGCCACACCAUCCAGAGACCCCCACACACACACCCCUGCCCAGCACCCCUCUGACUCCCAACGCCCAGUGCCACACCAUCCAGAGACCCCCACACACACACCCCUGCCCAGCACCCCUCUGGUUCCCUACACCCAGUGCCACACCACCUACAGACCCCCCCACACACACUCCUGCCCAGCACCCCUCUGGCUCCCUACGCCCAGUGCCACACUACCCAGAGACCCCCCCACAGCCCUGCCCAGCACCUCUCUGGCUCCCUACGCCUAGUGCCACACCACCCAGAGACCCCUCCACACACACCUGCCCAGCACCCCUCUGGCUCCCUACGCCCAGUACCACACCACCCAGAGACCCCCCCACACUCCUGCCCAGCACCCCUCUGGCUCCCUACGCCCAGUGCCACUCCACCCAGAGACCCCCCCACACUCCUGCCCAGCACCCCUCUGGUUCCCUACACCCAGUGCCACACCACCCAGAGACCCCCACACACACACCCCUGCCCAGCACCCCUCUGGUUCCCUACGCCCAGUGCCACACCACCCAGAGACCUCCACAAACCCCCGUGCCCAGUGCCCUCCCAGACCACUUCCCCACCUACUCGGAACCCCCCAACAGAUCCUCUUACUGCCCAGUCACCCCCUAGCUGAAGACCCCCCACA